rnacentral:rRNA from 1 species
UGGGGAAUCUUGCGCAAUGGCCGAAAGGCUGACGCAGCGACGCCGCGUGGAGGAUGACGCCCUUCGGGGUGUAAACUCCUGUUGCCCGGGACGAAUACCCGUUUCGACGGGGGUGACGGUACCGGGUGAGGAAGCACCGGCUAACUCUGUGCCAGCAGCCGCGGUAAUACAGAGGGUGCGAGCGUUGUCCGGAAUCACUGGGCGUAAAGGGCGCGUAGGCGGCUGGGUAAGCGUGUGGUGAAAGCCCGGGGCUCAACCCCGGGUCGGCCAUGCGAACUGUCCAGCUGGAGCACGGUAGAGGCACAUGGAAUUCCGGGUGUAGCGGUGGAAUGCGUAGAGAUCCGGAAGAACACCGGUGGCGAAGGCGGUGUGCUGGGCCGUGGCUGACGCUGAGGCGCGACAGCCAGGGGAGCAAACG